GGGGAGAUGUAGCUUGCUACAUUUCCUAGCGGCGGACGGGUGAGUAAUGCUUAGGAAUCUGCCUAUUAGUGGGGGACAACAUUCCGAAAGGAAUGCUAAUACCGCAUACGCCCUACGGGGGAAAGCAGGGGAUCUUCGGACCUUGCGCUAAUAGAUGAGCCUAAGUCAGAUUAGCUAGUUGGUGGGGUAAAGGCCUACCAAGGCGACGAUCUGUAGCGGGUCUGAGAGGAUGAUCCGCCACACUGGGACUGAGACACGGCCCAGACUCCUACGGGAGGCAGCAGUGGGGAAUAUUGGACAAUGGGCGAAAGCCUGAUCCAGCCACGCCGCGUGUGUGAAGAAGGCCUUUUGGUUGUAAAGCACUUUAAGCGAGGAGGAGGCUACUUAGAUUAAUAUUCUAGGAUAGUGGACGUUACUCGCAGAAUAAGCACCGGCUAACUCUGUGCCAGCAGCCGCGGUAAUACAGAGGGUGCGAGCGUUAAUCGGAUUUACUGGGCGUAAAGCGUGCGUAGGCGGCUUCUUAAGUCGGAUGUGAAAUCCCUGAGCUUAACUUAGGAAUUGCAUUCGAUACUGGGAAGCUAGAGUAUGGGAGAGGAUGGUAGAAUUCCAGGUGUAGCGGUGAAAUGCGUAGAGAUCUGGAGGAAUACCGAUGGCGAAGGCAGCCAUCUGGCCUAAUACUGACGCUGAGGUACGAAAGCAUGGGGAGCAAACAGGAUUAGAUACCCUGGUAGUCCAUGCCGUAAACGAUGUCUACUAGCCGUUGGGGCCUUUGAGGCUUUAGUGGCGCAGCUAACGCGAUAAGUAGACCGCCUGGGGAGUACGGUCGCAAGACUAAAACUCAAAUGAAUUGACGGGGGCCCGCACAAGCGGUGGAGCAUGUGGUUUAAUUCGAUGCAACGCG
rnacentral:rRNA from 1 species